UACGUAGGGUGCAAGCGUUGUCCGGAAUUAUUGGGCGUAAAGAGCUCGUAGGCGGCUUGUCGCGUCGUUCGUGAAAACCUGCGGCUCAACUGCAGGCUUGCGGUCGAUACGGGCAGGCUGGAGUUCGGUAGGGGGAGACUGGAAUUCUCGGUGUAGCGGUGAAAUGCGUAGAUAUCAGGAGGAACACCGAUGGCGAAGGCAGAUCUCUGGGCCGUAACUGACGCUGAGGAGCGAAAGCGUGGGGAGCGAACAGG
rnacentral:rRNA from 1 species